AAGAGGAAGGGCCCACGGAGAAGAUUGAGGGGAUUUUUCAAUUCAUAUCAGCACAUUGGGGAGGGGAAUUGGCUUUCUUCUCCAUGGCUGAUUCCAGGAGAAACACUGACCCUCUCCAUUUUUUCCAUUGAAUACAACACACAAAAUUCACAGGCAACAAUAGGUAUAGAGAAUUUUUCAUUCACUGGGAGGAGGAGACUGCAACAAUACUCCUCCCAUUUUUCAUACUCACACCACACACCCACUUCAUCAUCAACACCAUCUCAUGCACGUCACUGGAUGCACAAACGGAAUGAGUAGAAAAGAGGAGGGUGAAGUGGACUGAAGACGGAGAAAAACACUGAAAUGGGUAGAGAUUAGGGAGUAGAUUGAGAGGGAGAUCGGAGACAGGGAGAGGGAUCGGAGACUGGCGAGUCCUCGCCUAAAUCUCACCAGCAAAGAGGGUCUGAAAAUGGCCAAAAUUCCUCUAUUUUUCUUCGAUUCUGGAUGAAAUCCAGCCGGCGACUGGCUAUUCUAGUCAUUUUUGUCACCUGCGACUCACCAGAGUUUGAAUCGUGUUGGUGUUCGAUUUUCUACUAGAUUUUAUCGAGCUUUUGGGAUCAUCCAUUGCGGGGUUUGUUAUUGAUAUCAGCUUCAUCAGAAAUUUCCGAGACCAAGUCGAGUCAAUAUUCGGUUUGGGGGUCAUAUUGCUAUUUUUUUUAGUUGGAAAUCUGAUCGGAGGUCGUUUUCCCAUACCGAGUUGGAUCUGUUCGUUAGUCGAGGUGUUCGGUUUGAGAGUUUUGGACCAGACACUGUUCGUUUAACUAUCAUCGAAAGUCAGAGUCACUGAGGUAUUUGUGUUUAUUCGCCGGGGAAUGCCCCAAAGUAUUUUGUACCCGGAAGACGUUCGUGACGAAGGCCCGAGGCGGCGGGUUGGAGUUUACUUUAGGAAUAGUUUAGAAUAGAAUAGGUUUUACCUUUCCAUAUGUUUUUAUUUUUGGAUUGUAUAAUUUGGACUGUACAUCAUUUUGAUUUUAAAUUUUGGGUGAUUUGUUUGUGUGCUUGAAUGUUAUGUGUUUAUGUGGUUUAUACAUCCUUAAUGUCAAAAUUAGCCGAUACUCUCUACCAAGCGACCGUGGUCGAACCACGGGAUCGAGGGGUGCCUAACACCUUCUCCUCGGUCAACACAAUUCCUUAGCCAGAAUCUCUGUUCGCAAACCAGUUUCAAGAGUCAAAUGGCUUUGAAAAGGAUUUUGCAAUGGUGACUUGGCACACCGGAUUAUGCCAAGCGGCGACUCUGAUUUUGAAUGUAAAAAUAAUCUUUUUUCAAAACAAACUUUCAAUCUUUUGUCACUUUAAUAAUAAAAACCCUUUCAAACUUAGAAUUAUCUUUUUGAAGUCGAAAAAGGAGUGUGACAGUAAACACUUAAUUACCAAUAUAACACUUGGCAAAAGCCUAUAUAUAGGGCCUUUAAUCAAGCAAGAAAAUGCACUCACACACAAUUAAUUAGCUCUUCUUCUCAACAAAUCAAAUUGUUAAUUAGUAAUUAACAUGGCUAAGAUGUGCCUAUCUCAAAAGGUUGCUUUUGUUUUUGGUAUUCUCAUCAUGGCAAUGGCUGUUCAUCGACCUUGGUCUUCAAACAUUCAAGUGAUGGCUCUUCGUGACCUACCUUUGAUUGAGAAGAUUAUAUUGUCUGAUCUUAGCAUUUUAAGUUGUGGUACUGAAUGUAAAACUAAUGAGAAUUGCAAACCAACUUUUGUUCUGAAUGUAAAUGGAGUAUUAAGGGAUAUUAUGAUUGCCGCCCUUUAAAAAGAAAAAAAAAUCAAACAACUAUCAUAUGUUAAAUUAAUCGAGGUGCGUGCAAUCACCAUUCAUGAACAAAAUCAUAUGGUAUUGGUGUGUACUAUGUGUGGCAUGUGUCACUUGUAAGAUAAAUAAUUAAGUGACUCUCGAUGUAUGGUUUGAUUAAAUAAUGGAUAUCAAUUCCCAAAUUAAGGCAGAUAGUCCAAGGUGUGCUUUAACUAUUGAUCUUUUAUGAUUCAUUACCAGCAAUAUAAUACAAAAUGUGUG